rnacentral:rRNA from 1 species
UAGUCCAUGCCGUAAACGAUGGAUACUAGGUGUCGGGGGACUAGCCCCCUCGGUGCCGUAGCAAACGCGUUAAGUAUCCCGCCUGGGGAGUACGAUCGCAAGGUUGAAACUCAAAGGAAUUGACGGGGGCCCGCACAAGCGGUGGAGCAUGUGGUUUAAUUCGAUGCAACGCGAAGAACCUUACCUGGGCUUGAACCGUAAUUUGACGUAUGUUAGAGACAACAUAUUCUGAUUUAUCAGCAAGUUACAGAGGUGCUGCAUGGCUGUCGUCAGCUCGUGUCGUGAGAUGUUGGGUUAAGUCCCGCAACGAGCGCAACCCUUAUCAUUAGUUGCCAGCGCGUCAUGGCGGGGACUCUAAUGAGACUGCCCGGGUUAACCGGGAGGAAGGUGGGGAUGACGUCAAGUCCUCAUGGCCCUUAUGUCCAGGGCUACACACGUGCUACAAUGGGCGGUACAAAGCGCAGCUACACAGUGAUGUGGUGCGAAUCGCAAAAACCGUUCUC